rnacentral:rRNA from 1 species
UACGGGGGGGGCAAGCGUUGUUCGGAAUUACUGGGCGUAAAGGGCUCGUAGGCGGCCAACUAAGUCAGACGUGAAAUCCCUCGGCUUAACCGGGGAACUGCGUCUGAUACUGGAUGGCUUGAGUUUGGGAGAGGGAUGCGGAAUUCCAGGUGUAGCGGUGAAAUGCGUAGAUAUCUGGAGGAACACCGGUGGCGAAGGCGGCAUCCUGGACCAACACUGACGCUGAUGAGCGAAAGCCAGGGGAGCAAACGGG